AAGUCGUAACAAGGUAACCGUAGGUGAACCUGCGGUUGGAUCAUUAACAAUACUAACGGCCUCGCAAGAGGCCAUAAAACACAUCACUUGUGAAGUGUUUCGGGGGACUGCCCACGUAAGUGGGAAACCCGCCUAAAAAAGACCAAAUGUGCAUUGUAAUUGUCUCUGGUGGUUUGAGUGCCUAGAGUGAUUCGUUCCUCAGGCCGUCGUCAACCUCUGCACUUUGCUGUGCAUGGGUUGACAUAAUGGCCAGGCCACCGAUGGUGUCCCUCUUGGGAGGGACCCCAUUUGAAAUACCAAAGUCUGUUUUUAUAAUUCUGUCUGAGAAAAACAUUCAGUGAAAUGAAUACUAUAACAACUUUUGACAACGGAUCUCUUGGCUCUC
rnacentral:misc_RNA from 1 species